UACGAGUGCCUCGAGCGUUAUCCGGAAUUAUUGGGCGUAAAGGGUGUGUAGGUGGUUAUAUUAGUCUUGCGUUUAAUCUAUCGGCUCAACCGGUAGGCUGCGUGGGAAACGGUAUGACUGAGAGGAUGGUAGGGGUCUGCGGAACUCAUAGUGUAGCGGUGAAAUGCGUUGAUAUUAUGGGGAACACCAAAAGCGAAGGCAGCAGACUGGACCACUCCUGACACUGAAACACGAAAGCGUGGGUCGCGAAUGGG
rnacentral:rRNA from 1 species